rnacentral:rRNA from 1 species
AGAGUUUGAUCCUGGCUCAGAACGAACGCUGGCGGCGUGCCUAACACAUGCAAGUCGAACGUGAUCCAGAGCUUGCUCUGGUGAAAGUGGCGCACGGGUGAGUAACGCGUGGAUAACCUACCCUGGUAUCCGGGAUAACAUUCCGAAAGGGGUGCUAAUACCGGAUAAGCCCACGGGCUCUUUGGAGCUUGCGGGAAAAGGUGGCCUCUAUUUAUAAGCUACUGUAUCAGGAUGGGUCCGCGUACCAUUAGCUAGUUGGCGGUGUAACGGACCACCAAGGCGACGAUGGUUAGCUGGUCUGAGAGGAUGAUCAACCACACUGGAACUGAGACACGGUCCAGACUCCUACGGGAGGCAGCAGUGGGAAAUUUUGCGCAAUGGGGGAAACCCUGACGCAGCAACGCCGCGUGAGUGAUGAAGGCCUUUGGGUCGUAAAGCUCUGUCAGAGGGGAAGAAAUGAUAUAGUGCUAAUACCACUUUAUCUUGACGGUACCCUCAAAGGAAGCACCGGCUAACUCCGUGCCAGCAGCCGCGGUAAUAC